rnacentral:rRNA from 1 species
UGGAGCAUGUGGUUUAAUUCGAUGCAACGCGAAGAACCUUACCUACUCUUGACAUCCAGAGAAUUUGCUAGAGAUAGCUUAGUGCCUUCGGGAACUCUGAGACAGGUGCUGCAUGGCUGUCGUCAGCUCGUGUUGUGAAAUGUUGGGUUAAGUCCCGCAACGAGCGCAACCCUUAUCCUUUGUUGCCAGCGAGUAAUGUCGGGAACUCAAAGGAGACUGCCGGUGAUAAACCGGAGGAAGGUGGGAUGACGUCAAGUCAUCAUGGCCCUUACGAGUAGGGCUACACACGUGCUACAAUGGCAUAUACAAAGAGAAGCGAACUCGCGAGAGCAAGCGGACCUCAUAAAGUAUGUCGUAGUCCGGAUUGGAGUCUGCAACUCGACUCCAUGAGGUCGGAAUCGCUAGUAAUCGUAGAUCAGAAUGCUACGGUGAAUACGUUCCCGGGCCUU